AUUGAACGCUGGCGGCAUGCUUUACACAUGCAAGUCGAACGGUAACAGGCCGCAAGGUGCUGACGAGUGGCGAACGGGUGAGUAAUGCAUCGGAACGUGCCCAGUCGUGGGGGAUAACUACUCGAAAGAGUAGCUAAUACCGCAUACGAUCUAUGGAUGAAAGCGGGGGACCGUAAGGCCUCGCGCGAUUGGAGCGGCCGAUGUCAGAUUAGGUAGUUGGUGGGGUAAAGGCUCACCAAGCCAACGAUCUGUAGCUGGUCUGAGAGGACGACCAGCCACACUGGGACUGAGACACGGCCCAGACUCCUACGGGAGGCAGCAGUGGGGAAUUUUGGACAAUGGGCGCAAGCCUGAUCCAGCAAUGCCGCGUGCAGGAAGAAGGCCUUCGGGUUGUAAACUGCUUUUGUACGGAACGAAACGGCUCUGGUUAAUACCCGGGGCUAAUCACGGUACCGUAAGAAUAAGCACCGGCUAACUACGUG
rnacentral:rRNA from 1 species